GAUGAACGCUGGCGGCGUGCUUAACACAUGCAAGUCGAACGAUGAAGCCGGAGCUUGCUGGGUGGAUUAGUGGCGAACGGGUGAGUAACACGUGAGUAACCUGCCCCUGACUCUGGGAUAAGCGUUGGAAACGACGUCUAAUACUGGAUAUGACUACCGGCCGCAUGGUCUGGUGGUGUAAAGAUUUUUUGGUUGGGGAUGGACUCGCGGCCUAUCAGCUUGUUGGUGAGGUAAUGGCUCACCAAGGCGACGACGGGUAGCCGGCCUGAGAGGGUGACCGGCCACACUGGGACUGAGACACGGCCCAGACUCCUACGGGAGGCAGCAGUGGGGAAUAUUGCACAAUGGGCGAAAGCCUGAUGCAGCAACGCCGCGUGAGGGAUGACGGCCUUCGGGUUGUAAACCUCUUUUAGUAGGGAAGAAGCGAAAGUGACGGUACCUGCAGAAAAAGCACCGGCUAACUACGUGCCAGCCGCCGCAGUAA
rnacentral:rRNA from 1 species